AUAACAUUGGUUGUCUUUACUCACUACUAUUUUUAUACAUUUCUCUCCAUGACUCUCUGAUUCUCUCUCAGAAAGCGAUUUCCAAGUACGACCAUUGCUGGUACGUCAACUUAAGAUGAGGCAAAAUUACUUCUCAAAACACCCGGCUAAUAUUAUUGUUACAAGGUUACAGAAUGAGCAGCUACAAACCAGGCAAUGAGAAAAUGGACCAAAUCAACAAAAGGUUGUCAAGCCGAUACUUCUACGCGUAUCAGUGAUAGAUCCAAAUCUGCAAGAGUUGCCAGCAGCGUGAGGGAUGUACACGUCUUGAAGACAAGUAGAUGUUUUCAAACAUGGUUCUGCGAUUUGUCGUAUGUCAAGCUGGAAUUCAGAGUGGUUUAA
rnacentral:lncRNA from 1 species